GUGAUAGACUGCAAGCAAGCAAGCAAGCAAUUUAUUUAUAUAGCACUUUCAGAUCAGCCCCCAGCACAAAGUGCUGUACACUUGACAUGCCAGAAAUGAUACAUUGAACAAGUUAAAAAAAAUAAAUAAAUAAUAUAAAAUAAAGAAAAAAUAUUUUAAAAAAUAAGAUGAUAAUUAAAAUGACAUUUAAAAUAAUAAAAUUGGCACAAAUAGCAAAAACAAUAAUAAAAUAGUAUAAAAUGAUCAUUAGAAUUACAUUUAAAACAAUAAAGUCAGCACAUUAGAUUAAAACAAUAAAAUCAGGUUCAGACUAUGUCAUAAGCCAAGGAGUAAAAAUGGGUUUUAAUGAUCUGUCCAAGGGGUACACUGGCUCUCACCCUAUGACAGCCUAUCAUAUGGGGAUAGGCUCCACCCUUACUGUGACCCUGAAUUCGAUAAGUGGAAGAAAAUGAAAAGAUGGGUAAUUCUUAAAAAAGAUCUUCCAGAGAGGGUAGAUUGCAAUUCUUUUGUUAGAGAACACAUGAGCUCAUUUCCUGGUUGCUGAGCGUCCUAAGUAAGCUUUGGCAGCAGCUCAUGUAGCCCAUCUUUGCCUUCCACCCACUUAACCUAAUAUCAUCAUGCAUUAUGUAGCCAACCGCUCUGAUGGUGCCUCGUGUUGGAGUGUGUAAGGCAGAAGGAAAGGUCCACAGUGUAAUGUCUCUCAUAAACAUGGCCCAUCCAUCUUGUUGGAUUAGAGGCUGUCACUAUUUUCUUCCACUUGAUGUGUGUGAAUGUGUAGGACUACUUCACUCAGCACCUUUGAUGUUCAGUGAAAGCCCAGAGGGAAAAUCGUCUUUCCAAAAGCUUCUAAUGGUCUCAGUUGUAGCAGUAUGCUAUUGUCAGGUGUGGUCCUUUUGUUGAUCCCAGUUUGAUGCCGCUUGUUCAUUUGUGACUCGCCGUUUGAACUUCACAGGCUUUUAAAUUAACAAAGCAUCCCAGAUCAAAAACGCAGGCCUGCAGCAGGAGCAGUGGCAGCGGCGAGGACCGUCUCCUUCCCCCUCAUCUUACGCGCCGUGUCACUCAAUCUGUAUCAGCGCCUGAGUUCCGUUUGGUGUGUCAGCAUGUGUGUCUCUGUGUGUGGGGGAGCUUUGUUUUGUGUGUGCAGCUGUCCUUACUGUGAGGUGUUUGGGGAGAUGGGUGAGUGAAGACCACAGCAAAGAAGCAGAUUUAAAAACAAGACAGUGUGUGCAUAAAAGCCUUUCAAAUUCUCAGUCUAUCCUAAUUCUGUUAAGGAUUUUUUUUUUUUUUUAACCGCUGAGCCACACCCUUGUGUAACAACAUUAUGAUCAUCUGAAAUGGAUGAGCAGGAUGUGUGGGGAUAACAGCUUUUUUUCAGUCCUGUGAAAUAAUGAUGGAUUCCAUUAGUUUUCAGUUCAUGCAACUAAAAGAUGGAGACUAAAAAUCGUUUCGGUUUUUAGGUUUCAGUUUGCAUAAAAAAAACAGGAAGUGAAUAAAUCUCCUUAACGCUUUCCUCCAUAAACACAACAUUGAACGACCUCUCCCGUGGCAAGUUUUGACACCUCAGUACAGAUCAGUAAAGAUUUGGUUUGAUGACCAUUAAAAUAGUUUCCAAGGGCAGCUGCACAGAGAGAGAUCACCUUUCCUAACCUCUGAUGCAUACCCAGUCGUUUUGUGUCAUAAUGAGGCAGAAAUUAUGACAGAAAGCACUCAGUUUAGAAAAGAGCUUCAAGGGUUACUUCUAGUAGGCUUUCAGAGGAGGCAACGAGUUAAAAUAAG
ensembl:lncRNA